rnacentral:rRNA from 1 species
AACGUAGGGAGCUAGCGUUGUUCGGAAUUACUGGGCGUAAAGAGUACGUAGGCGGUUAUUCAAGUCAGAGGUGAAAGCCUGGAGCUCAACUCCAGAACUGCCUUUGAAAUUAGAUAGCUAGAAUCUUGGAGAGGUGAGUGGAAUUCCGAGUGUAGAGGUGAAAUUCGUAGAUAUUCGGAAGAACACCAGUGGCGAAGGCGACUCACUGGACAAGUAUUGACGCUGAGGUACGAAAGCGUGGGGAGCGAACUGG